rnacentral:misc_RNA from 1 species
AAGUCGUAACAAGGUUUCCGUAGGUGAACCUGCGGAAGGAUCAUUAAAGAGUAUGAGGUCUUCAUGGCCCGACCUCCAACCCUCUGUUGUUAUAACUAACCUUGUUGCUUUGGCGGGACCGUCUCGGUCUCCGAGCGCCACUUAACCCUGCGGGUUGGUGAGCGCCCGCCCAGAGUCCAACCCAAAACUCUUGUAUUAAACCAGUACGUCUGAGUAUAAAAAUUUUUAAUUAAAAUUAAAAA